CAGCAGCCGCGGUAAUACGAAGGGUGCAAGCGUUAAUCGGAAUUACUGGGCGUAAAGCGCGCGUAGGUGGUUUGGUAAGAUGGAUGUGAAAUCCCCGGGCUCAACCUGGGAACUGCAUCCAUAACUGCCUGACUAGAGUACGGUAGAGGGUGGUGGAAUUUCCUGUGUAGCGGUGAAAUGCGUAGAUAUAGGAAGGAACACCAGUGGCGAAGGCGACCACCUGGACUGAUACUGACACUGAGGUGCGAAAGCGUGGGGAGCAAACAGGAUUAGAUACCCGUGUAGUCCCUGUCUCUUAUAC
rnacentral:rRNA from 1 species